CCUCAGACCACAGGGUCUCCUCCUUGGUAAAGACUGAAUACCUCUCCUGAGUCAGACAGGUGUGCAGUAAGGUCUGUUCCUUUAGAGAAGAUGGAGCAUUCGAUGGCAGAAGAGCUUCAGCAAGGCAGGUCUUUUGGUCUUUGCAGCUGGAGAAAACUCACAGAGGCGGACAAGCAGCUAGCAGUGAUGGGGUGUUGGUUCUCCCACCCCCAGCAGCGUCCUAGGAAUCCUGGGGUCCCCGGGGAGGGGCUGCAGCCGACUUGCAGAUCACAGGGGAGCCCGACCACCUCCUGGCUUCAUUCCCUCUAAACCCGCAUCUCGGGGCAGCAGUACAGCUCAGCAGUAUUUUGGGACAGCCAUCAGCUCUCAUUCUGAUCCCAUGAUUACACAUUUACAACAACAUCUUCCCCUCUCCUCUGCAGGUCGGUCCCUAGGUUCAUGCAGCCAGAAAUUCGGGGUCUGGCACCGUCCCUGGGGAUGACUGGGAGGCGGUACAGUUGUUUUCCACAGCAUCAACCUCCAACAGCUGGGGCUGCUCUUUAACUCCCUGCUAUGGAUUGGCUGUUAAUUUAUCUAAGCCCUCCCUGAACCUGUUUAUGUUUCAUUAAACUCUUUUAUUGAUCCUCUUAAUUUUCUCUCUGCUAAUUUACUCUGGGCCUUGACUUCAUACCUUCUCUCUGAGGCUGGGUUUCAAGCAUUUCCAACGUGUUGCACCCUCGGCCCCCAGCAAGUGCCACACCCAUAGAGCCAGCCUUCAGCAGCCACCUGUCAGCCCUCACAGCCCCUCCGCUCCUGCUCCUACAGAACUCAGAGAGGCAGACUGUCCACCUCUCUUCUCCUUUUGCCUUUUAAUGCUUAACCCCAAAUAAUGAACCUUUGAUGGUGCCCAUUAUGUAGUGGUGAAAGUACUUUUGGGCGGGGAAGCCUUUCAAUGUGAGGGGCUCCCUGUUCUGCUUUUUUUUUUCCAGGACCUUGUGCCUGUUCUGCUUCGGACACAUGUUCACUGAUGCUGCAGUCUGCUGGGUGGGUGAGUAGUUUACAUGAUGAGAGGACUGCAGGACACUCUUGGGACAUUUAUAGAGA
rnacentral:lncRNA from 1 species